rnacentral:rRNA from 1 species
ACACGGAUGUGAUAGGUAUGUGAAUUGCAGAAUUCAGGUGAAUCAUCGAAUCUUUGAACGCAUCUUGCACCUUUUGGUAUUCCAAAAGGUACACCUGUUUGAGUGUCAUGAAACCCUCUCAUUAAACAUUUUAUUUUUGAUUUGUUUAGUGGAUGUUGAGUGUUGCUGUACCUAUAGCUCACUUUAAAUAUAUAAGUCACUUUUCAAAUAAGUUGGAUUGACUUGGUGUAAUAAUUUUAUCAUCACAUCAAGGAAAGUAGUAAAACACUUGCCAUCUUGUUUGUUAAUAAGAGACUCCUAAAACCCAAUAUCUUAUUUUUAAGACCUCAAAUCAGGUGGGACUACCCGCGAAACCUUAAGCAA